rnacentral:rRNA from 1 species
CAGAACGUCGUGAGACAGUUCGGUCCCUAUCCGUCGCAGGCGUAGGAAAUUUGAGAAGACCUGUCCUUAGUACGGGAGGACCGGGAUGGACGUACCUCUGGUGUACCAGUUGUCCUGCCAAGGGCAUGGCUGGGUAGCUAUGUACGGAAUGGAUAAGCGCUGAAAGCAUCUAAGCGCGAAGCCAACUUCAAGAUAAGAUUUCCCACCGCAAGGGUAAGACCCCAGAAAGACUAUCUGGUUGAUAGGUCGAAGGUGUAAGUGCAGCAAUGUAUUUAGCUUAUCGAUACUAAUAGGUCGAGGACUUGACCAAU